CGCAUUUUGUUAUAUUUAGAACAUGAAUUUUUAAUUGAACGGAGAUAUAUCAGACUCAGAAAUGUAUGAAAUAAUGUUGCUUCGAGAAUGCUCCGAGGUUGCUUCGUGAGGAAUAUUUAUCGAGAUUAUUUUUUUCUUUAAAGGGAUGAUUAGUUUGGUUCCGAACGAAGAAAACCCGUUAGUGUCCUUGCGCUUUCAAUUUUAAUGAGAGUUAUGAUUUUUUUUAUUUUUUUUUCAUGUUAAUGUUUU